GUUUGCAUUCCCACCAGCAGUGCAAAAGGGUUCCUCUUUAUCUGCACCAACAUCUGUUGUCGCCUGAGUUGUUCAUCGUGGCCAUUUGGCAGGUGUGAGGUGGUAUCUCACUGUGGUUUUGAUUUGUGUUUCCCUGAUAAUGUCACUCUUGCUUUAGGAUCGGUGUCUGAAUACGAACAUCUGCCGCCUGGGGUGGUGGUGGUGCUGUUCCAGUUUCUCCUUUCUGUCCUCAAAGCUUUGUUCUCCUCUCUCUCUUGCAUCCUGGGAUUCUGGGUAUGCUUGAAAAGCUCAGUUCUGGAUUGCUUCUGCCUGCAGAUGAAGUUCAAAGGCACUUUCCACUUUGCUCUUCAGGUCUCCUGGUGUUUCACUGGUCCGAGGGCAGAAGCAGGCACGCCUGUGUUUCGUGCCCAAAUCAGAGCAUGGAAAGUACAACCAAGUGAGUUUCCAGAUGGCAGCACCACACAUCUGCGCACUGCUGAGCGGCCACGGCUCGCGAGUGACUGGAUGGAAUGAGCAUCGUGGCACGUCACAGAGGAGCACAACCCACUUGUCAGCGAUGUCGAAGUGGGAAGGCGACGGAAACAGAGAAGCCGGCGCCCACAGAAGGGAAUCCUUCCAGCUGCAGGAGGUGUGAUCCUGCCGCUCCCCUUCCCAGCCAGUUUGGGGUGCGGCUCGCGUAGAGGCCUGGAACAUGAGAGUCCUGCCCCGCGCUCCCCAGCAGUGCCGAGCCCUCACCCUGGCACGAGACCUGUAAGUGAGGUGGUGUCUCAGAACCCGGGCUAGUCCACCCGACAAGAAUCAGUUUGUUGAGCGCAGCCUCAGGCACCUUGUUCGCACUUGGCCUCUUCUCCUGGUGAGGGCUUCUGCUCAGCCCUCAACCCACCGAGAUGGCUACUUGUCCACUUCUAGCCUCCUGCCCCAGGAAAGCUGAUGUGCAGGCAGAGCAUGGGGCUCCCUUUCCGAACCUGGGCCGUUUAUUACAAAAACACCUACCAUUCCGGCCCAGCAGGCUCGGGAGCCAGCAGCCAGACACCCAAGGGACCGCAGGCACUGCACAAUUGAGACCAGGUCUAUUUGUCUGGGCUCGCUACCAAUUCAUCCUUUUGCUCCAGACGGCAGACUGCCCCGUGAACGACACUGUGUACCCGACACCAUUUUGCCACCCGGCAUUCGAAUGAGUGAUUAGUACUUCUAGGCUCCUCGGAGUUACAGUUUUUCAAACUCUUUGUGGAUGAUGGACGGUCCAUUUUGAAAGCUUUUCAAAGCUCUGAAUCUCCCUUGUAAUAAAUAGCCCAGUCACUCCUUUUGAGCUCUGGACACCUCCGCAUGCACCCCUUCAUUAUUCUCUGGUAUCAGCUCUUCCUGGUAGAGCCUUUAAAACUAGGUUGCUUCUUGAAGAUGGACCCUUCAGAAAGAAGUACCAUGUAGCUCUUCAGGGAGGACUGAGCAGAUCUUAGGAAGGCUGCGGUUAAGGCGGGGAACCCAGUGCCUUUGUGGAAAGGCCGGUUUCAUUUAUCCGAAACCUUACAGGGAUAUGGAGGAUGGUGUGCAAUCUGCCCUUUGCUGUGAGGGGGACACGGGACCUGACUGCUAUGGAAUGGGAACACUGAGACGGGCGCCGAGGGGAGGGUGCUUCCUCAGCCUAGGGCAGUGGGCUCGAACUCAGGGUCCGCCUCAGGAACAGCUCAGGUGCCGGAUGUUCAUUUGUGUGUCCUUCAAAAUCAAAAGCUCUGGACAGGGGAUCCCAGGCCUCAGUUCUCCACGUGGACCCAAACGGAAACCCAGUGACCUCUGGACCUCGUCACCUGAUCCUACCACGUGGCCCGAGCAGCAUUCAGCUGUGCUGGCCUUGAGAACGACGAGGCCGCCGUCAGAGGUGAACCGCUCUGGGAAGGGUCUGGGCCUGCCUUGUCCCGAGGCCCGUCCUUGCUGUGGAUGGCGACACCAGGUGCCCACCGCUGCCCCGGGGCGAGCUACCACCCAGAGCAGACUGUGGGCAGCAGCUAGGCAGUCAUGGAAAGAGAAGACACCCGAAGUUGAAAUUCUCAUAAUUUUAAUGGUCAAUAGCUUCUGGUUGGCUCUGGAUGGUACAGUUAAACAAUAUACUUAAAGACCUCCCCCCGCCCCCCGCAAGCGCAUUCACAUCCCCUCGGCAGCCGUGCCGCCAACGCGCACCGCCCGGUCUUCCCAGACUUCCACCGCUCGGACCCCCUGCGGGUUAUGGAAAUCCACAUCUUAGUGUAAGGAGUUGAAAAACCCUUGGUACGCCUGUGACCUGUGUUAUUUUUUUAAAAUAACAGAUAUUAAACCAAACACCUUCCCAGGCUCCGCCGCCGCCUCACAGAGCAAAAACCUGUUACUGUGGCAAAUCUGAACACUCUGUGGUCUCUCGUGGGCCGGGCCGAUUGCUUCUCUCCCUGUUCUACUGAAAUCAUACGGCAUAGAGUUCGUAAAUCUUCUUUACACAGUACACCAGGGCGGCGAG